UGCCAGACUCCUACGGGAGGCAGCAGUGAGGAAUAUUGGUCAAUGGGCGGGAGCCUGAACCAGCCAAGUCGCGUGAGGGACGACGGUCCUAUGGAUUGUAAACCUCUUUUGUCGGGGAACAAAGGCGCCCACGGGUGGGCGGAUGAGUGUACCCGAAGAAAAAGCAUCGGCUAACUCCGUGCCAGCAGCCGCGGUAAUACGGAGGAUGCGAGCGUUAUCCGGAUUUAUUGGGUUUAAAGGGUGCGUAGGCGGAAGGUUAAGUCAGCGGUCAAAUGUCGGUGCUCAACGCCGGCCUGCCGUUGAAACUGGUCUUCUUGAGUGAGCGAGAAGUAUGCGGAAUGCGUGGUGUAGCGGUGAAAUGCAUAGAUAUCACGCAGAACUCCGAUUGCGAAGGCAGCAUACCGGCGCUCAACUGACGCUGAGGCACGAAAGCGUGGGGAUCGAACAGGAUUAGAUACCCUAGUAC
rnacentral:rRNA from 1 species